rnacentral:rRNA from 1 species
GGGGGGGGGCAAGCGUUGUUCGGAAUUACUGGGCGUAAAGGGCUCGUAGGCGGCCAACUAAGUCGGACGUGAAAAUCCCUCGGGCUCAACUGAGGAACUGCGUCCGAUACUGGAUGGCUUGAGUCCCGGGAGAGGGAUGCGGAAUUCCAGGUGUAGCGGUGAAAUGCGUAGAUAUCUGGAGGAACACCGGUGGCGAAGGCGGCAUCCUGGACCGGCACUGACGCUGAGGAGCGAAAGCCAGGGGAGCAAACGGGAUUAGAUACCCCGGUAGUCCUGGCCCUAAACGAUGAAUGCUUGGUGUGGCGGGUAUCGAUCCCUGCCGUGCCGAAGCUAACGCGAUAAGCAUUCCGCCUGGGGAGUACGGUCGCAAGGCUG